GUGACAAUGGCAUCCACUCUGCCUUCCUCUCCACAGGUGUCCACUCUGAGGUCCAGCUGCAGCAGUCUGGAGCUGAGCUGGUGAAGCCUGGGGCCUCAGUGAAGUUGUCCUGCAAGGCUUCUGGAUACACCUUCACAAGCUAUGAUAUAAACUGGGUGAAGCAGAGGCCUGGACAGGGCCUUGAGUGGAUUGGAUAUAUUUAUCCUGGAAAUGGUGGUACUAACUACAAUGAGAAGUUCAAGGGCAAGGCCACACUGACUGCAGACAAAUCCUCCAGCACAGCCUACAUGCAGCUCAGCAGCCUGACAUCUGAGGACACUGCGGUCUAUUUCUGUGCAAGACACAGUGUUGCAACCACAUCCUGAGUGUGUCAGAAACCCUGGCGAGCAGGAAGCUGGGCUGGGACUGAGAUGACAGAAAGGUUAAUCCUUAGACUUGGUCAGAAAUCAUAAUUUUGAUUAUCUAUUUAUUUCCUUCUCCUUAGAGUUCUAUAGUGCCUUUGUCAGCUUGUAAAUGUCCAUCUAUGAAUAAAGUGAGGCUGUUUGGAUAAACCUAA